rnacentral:rRNA from 1 species
AGGACGAACGCUGGCGGCGUGCUUAACACAUGCAAGUCGAACGAUGAAGGGGAGCUUGCUCCUUGGAUUAGUGGCGAACGGGUGAGUAACACGUGAGUAACCUGCCCUUGACUCUGGGAUAAGCGUUGGAAACGACGUCUAAUACCGGAUAUGACAGCUGACGGCAUCGUCUGGUUGUGGAAAGAAUUUUGGUUGGGGAUGGACUCGCGGCCUAUCAGCUUGUUGGUGAGGUAAUGGCUCACCAAGGCGACGACGGGUAGCCGGCCUGAGAGGGUGACCGGCCACACUGGGACUGAGACACGGCCCAGACUCCUACGGGAGGCAGCAGUGGGGAAUAUUGCACAAUGGGCGCAAGCCUGAUGCAGCAACGCCGCGUGAGGGACGACGGCCUUCGGGUUGUAAACCUCUUUUAGUAGGGAAGAAGUGGCUCUUUUUUGAGUUGUGACGGUACCUGCAGAAAAAGCACCGGCUAACUACGUGCCAGC